UACGGAGGGGACUAGCGUUGUUCGGAAUUACUGGGCGUAAAGCGCACGUAGGCGGAUUUGUAAGUCAGGGGUGAAAUCCCGGGGCUCAACCUCGGAACUGCCUUUGAUACUGCAAAUCUCGAGUCCGGAAGAGGUGAGUGGAAUUCCUAGUGUAGAGGUGAAAUUCGUAGAUAUUAGGAAGAACACCAGUGGCGAAGGCGGCUCACUGGUCCGGUACUGACGCUGAGACGCGAAGGCGUGGGGAGCGAACGGG
rnacentral:rRNA from 1 species